rnacentral:rRNA from 1 species
AAUCUUGGACAAUGGGGGCAACCCUGAUCCAGCGACGCCGCGUGGGUGACGAAGGCCUUAGGGUUGUAAAGCCCUUUUCUCGGGGAAGAUGAUGACGGUACCCGGGGAAUAAGCACCGGCUAACUCCGUGCCAGCAGCCGCGGUAAGACGUAGGGGCCAGCGUUGCUCGGAAUUACUGGGCGUAAAGGGUUCGUAGGCGGUGUGGCAAGUCGAAAGUGAAAUCUCCAGGCUUAACUUGGAGGCUGCUUCCGAAACUGCCAUGCUAGAGUGCGGGAGAGGCGAGUGGAAUUGCAGGUGUAGCGGUGAAAUGCGUAGAUAUCUGCAGGAACACCCGUGGCGAAGGCGGCUCGCUGGACCGCAACUGACGCUGAGGAACGAAAGCUAGGGGAGCAAAC